AUGAUGGGAGCUUGCUCCUGGAUUAGUGGCGAACGGGUGAGUAACACGUGAGUAACCUGCCCUUAACUCUGGGAUAAGCCUGGGAAACUGGGUCUAAUACCGGAUAUGACUCCUCAUCGCAUGGUGGGGGGUGGAAAGCUUUAUUGUGGUUUUGGAUGGACUCGCGGCCUAUCAGCUUGUUGGUGAGGUAAUGGCUUACCAAGGCGACGACGGGUAGCCGGCCUGAGAGGGUGACCGGCCACACUGGGACUGAGACACGGCCCAGACUCCUACGGGAGGCAGCAGUGGGGAAUAUUGCACAAUGGGCGCAAGCCUGAUGCAGCGACGCCGCGUGAGGGAUGACGGCCUUCGGGUUGUAAACCUCUUUCAGUAGGGAAGAAGCGAAAGUGACGGUACCUGCAGAAGAAGCGCCGGCUAACUACGUGCCAGCAGCCGCGGUAAUACGUAGGGCGCAAGCGUUAUCCGGAAUUAUUGGGCGUAAAGAGCUCGUAGGCGGUUUGUCGCGUCUGCCGUGAAAGUCCGGGGCUCAACUCCGGAUCUGCGGUGGGUACGGGCAGACUAGAGUGAUGUAGGGGAGACUGGAAUUCCUGGUGUAGCGGUGAAAUGCGCAGAUAUCAGGAGGAACACCGAUGGCGAAGGCAGGUCU
rnacentral:rRNA from 1 species